rnacentral:lncRNA from 1 species
GAAUUACUUUUAUAAAAUCAUUUUUCAAAAAUCAAUUAAGUCUCAAACUUUCAUAAGUAAAAUGAAAAUCAACAGAAAUAUGCGGAACAGUAUGAAAUACACUAAUACAUCCCGAAUCCGAUGUUACUAGUCAUGAGCCUCUAAAUACAACCAAGACACUGUCAAAGUAAUACAAAAUAAGUCUGAAACAACAAAAUACUAAGAUAGGAAGGAGGAAGGAAGGGCUGUGAAUGUCGUGCAGCUACCUUGCGAUCUCCGGAUAAACUCUGAGAGUGCUGGAAGCUCUCACUCUGAUGCUCGGGCACCUGGAUCUGCGCACAAGGUGUAGGGAGUAAUGUGAGCAUGCCAACUCAGUAAGUAACUAAAGUAAAUAAGGUCUAAGUGCAGUGACGUGCAAUUUAAAAUCAUAUAAGAGUUUUCAACAGAAUAUCAAGUCAAAAUCAGCAGUUCCAUAGCCAGUUAUCUCAUAAAAACAUCAGUUUAUAUUAAAAUACUUUGAAAUUAUUUAUUCAACCUUUUUCAACAGAGGCUCAGUGUAGAAAGAAGAGUGAAAGCAGUAAAAUAUCAUAAACGGGCCCCUCGGGCAAGGUAUCACUCAUAAAUAUAGCCUCUCGGGCAGCCUCUCAGUCACUCAUGACUCAACUCUGGUCAAUCAGUGCUCACACUCAGCACUCCAGCUCAAUAAAUGUCUCAUAAUAAUAAUAAUAGUAAUAACCGAUGCGGCGUGCAGCCCGAUCCAUAGUGUAUAUAUAAUAUCGUUGUGGCAUGCAGCUCGUCUAUAGUUUAUAGUCGACUACGCUCACUGGGGUGUACAGACUCCGGAGGGGCUCCUAUAGCCCAAGCGCCAUAUCGUUGCGGCGUGCAGCCAGAUCCAUAUGUAUAUUGUUGUGGCGUGCAGCCCGAUCCGUAUAUAUAAUAUCGUUGCGGCGUGCAACCUGAUCCAUAAUAGAUAUAUAAUCCUCACCAUUAGGUCCUAAACCUCUCUCAGUCAUUAACCUCAUGGCCACUAAGGGCAUAUCAGUAAAAAUUAAGGAACUCAGCCUAAAAAGUUUUCAUAUAUUAAGAAAAAGAGUGAUGAAAUCGGUUUUAAACAAAUAACAUGUAAAACAUGACUGAGGAUACGCUUUCAAAUCAAACAGAGUGAGGAAAGUAGUAAAAAUACUCCUAAGGGUCUAAACAGGUCAGCACAAGGCCCCAAACAUGGCGUACAACCCCACACAUAGUAUCAAUCUCUAAAAUACGGAUAUCAUAAGAUUUCAAAUCAAAUACGCGGCUUAAUAGUCGCUACGGGAUGGACCAAGUUACAAUCCCUACCAGUGCACGCCCACACGCUCAUCACCUAGCAUAUGUGUCACCUCAUUUAUCAAAACAAUAUGUUUCAUACCCUCAGGUCCAGAUUUACAAUGGUUACUUACCUCGAACCGGAUGAAAUACUACUCUGUGACGCCCUUGCCUCUCAACUCGGCCUCAACUCGCGUCGAAUCUAUCCAAAAUCAGAAUUACAACAUCAAUAUAUGCUAAGGGAAUAAAGCCCAUGCGAAAAUAAUCAAUUUACAUCAAGAAUCCCGAAAUUGGCCAAACCCGACCCCUGGGCCCACAUCUCGGAUUCCGAUAAAAUUCAUAAAACUAGAAUCCUUACACUCUCACGAGUUCAUACAUACCAAGAAUACCAAAAUCCGACCACAAAUAACCCAUCAAAUCCCUAGAUUAAGGUCUUCGAUAUCCAAGCCCUAAACCCCCAUUUUUUGCUAUUAAUUUCCAUAGAUUUCAAGCUUAAUCAGUCAAAAACUAUCAUACAAAUAAGUUUAGGGUCCAAAAAUCUUACCUCCACGAAACCCCCUUGAAUUCUUUCUUCAAAUUGCUCUCCCAAGCUCAAACCCGCAUGAAAACAGUGAAAAACCACUCAAAAAUUGCGAAGGGCUAAAUUUAUAUGCUCUGCCCCAGCUAAACUGCUUCUGCGAUCGAAAUCUUGCACCUGCGAUCCCAGGUGCGCAUCUGCGGAAUUCACUUAACCACCCAAGGACCGCACCUGCAAUCAAAAUCCCGCACCUGCAUUAUCGCAGGUGCGCUCAAACAUCUGCAUCUGCAGUUCCAGCUCCUCUCGCCCAUUUCCGCAUCUGCGUUUUAAGUAGAAAAGUAACUUUUUUUUAAAAUUGUAUAAAUGUAUUUUGAGUCCCAAAAGUCAUUAUUUAGGUUUAGGACUCAGAUUAUAUUACUGCAAGAGUAAGCUAUGGCAGUGGAUCUUACAGUUGUGAAAUCUUGUUUCAGUAGUAGUAACUGGUUAGGAACACUGGAUAAGAAACUUAUUUUGGAAUUUCUCUCUUUUUUCUUAUAUAUACUCCAUUAUAUAUAGAAUAGUAGUGUAAAUCAUUUGUGGAAUUAUUGAAUGUUAUGGUGGGGAGUGUGAUCGGUGAUAGGAGUGGGUUUCUUGGCGAUUGAAGUGAAAGUAAAAUAGUAAUUAAGUGAACAACAUAGAAGUUAAAAAACAAAGCAUGUCAUGAUCAUUAGUUUUGGUGCACACUUAAGGGUCGGUUGGUUAUAAAUAAAUUAUUUCAUGAUUAGUUAUCUGAGGAUUAGUUACCCUACCCUCUUAAAAGGAUAAAAAAAUAAUACAAUUUCGGAAUAAUUAUUUUCGAAUUUAGUCAUACCAUGAUUUUAUACCAAUCAAAUAUAGAAUAAACGCAUCUCAAAUUUAAUUUCGAAAUUAGUUAUCCCUUAUCCCUCGUACCAAACGAACCCUUAGCUUUUAAUAUUUGUACUAUUUCAAAAAUAUACCUAUGCUACAGCUUAACUGUUGUUGUGAGAGCCAUUUGUUUUAGGAAUUCCCCCUUCUUCUUCUUUUUUUGCUUCUUUUUUAAAAUAAGAAAGAGAAAAAAAAAAGAUGAUUAGAUCUUAGAUAUUGACAAUGAUAAGGGACAAAUAUCGACAUGCUUCUUGCAUUAUAUAACUAUGUAUAGUUUUUGGCGAAAUACAUAAAUGGCCAUUUGAAGUUGUCCUCAACGACCAGCUGAACACCUCAAUUGACCCCUUUAUCAUUUAGACACUUCAAGUGACUGCUAUUUAGAUCAAGUAAACACAUGUCGUUGAUGUAGCAUAUGCGUGAUUGCUAACCAAAUUUUGAGCACAUGAUAUAUUUUUGCAGCCUAAUUUUUAUUUUUUUUAAAAAGAAAAAACAUGAAAUACCUCACCUUAGCCUCUCUUCUUCUUUCAACUGCAACCCACCAUGAAACCACCAUAGCCUCCAUGAAAAUCACUCACUAAAGCUCCAACUAAGCCACCUUAAAUCACUGAAAAAUAUCGCCUUUCAUCAAAACUUACUGCCCAUAACCUCUAGAGCUUCGCCUAUAUCUGUUGAGCCAAAACUAAUCCCGAGAUAGCCGAAAAAAGCAGCAAAAUUGCAGCAAUAAUAGCUGCAAAAAACCACCAAAUCUCCACUAGAUAAACACCCUCUUUCAUAUAACAUACCUUCAUUCCAACAAAAACACACAAACAACAACCAAUUAUUUAAAUCGAUGGAAAAUUUUACACCAAAAAUAAUAAAUUAGAAAAAUAAAAGUAAAAUAAGUCCAAAUUUGUGACCAAGAAAAUGACGGAGAAAGAAGACCCAAAAUCCCAGUGGAUCAUGAUUCUUUUUUGUUGAUCUCUAACAAGAUCAAGAUUCUCUACUUGGAACGUCUCAAUCGGAUUUAUGAUUUGCUUGGCUACAUCUGUAAACUUGAUAAAUGCAGACAAAAUUUUUAAAUUAAAAUAACAUUGCCAACGAAUAAGUAAUUGUAAUUCUUUUCAACCCUUUGCAAGUGGAGAUCUUUGGCGCCGGGCAUCUUUCUAACUUUGUGUCAUCAAGUAUGGAUGGAUAAAUUUUGAGUAUAGGGCAUGUUGGAGAAGAAGGUGGAAAGGGGAAGGGGUCUAACAGAAAGAUAUGUGUUUAAUUAGUUGGAGGGAGAGUGGAUCAGGGAAAAGGGGAAGGAGACGCAGAAGAAGGGCAGAAGAAAGAAGAUGAAUGGGGUGGGGUGGGGAUAGCGCUAGUUUUGGUUCUAAAGGAAGAAGAUGAAGUGGGG